rnacentral:rRNA from 1 species
CCCUAUUAUAAUAAUGUAAAAUUUUUAUCUUGGUUAGUAUUAGUUAUGAUCUUGAAAAUUAAAGAUUUUGGCGGUAUUUUAUUCUUUUCAGAGGAACCUGUCUAGUAAUUGAUAGUCCACGAUUUAUUUUACUCUUUCUUAGUUUAUAUAUCGUCGUAGUUUAAAUAUUUUUUAAGAAUUAAAAUGUUUAUAAUUUUUGUUAGAACAAAAAUCAGAUCAAGGUGUAGCGGAUGGAAGAGGUAUUGAUGGGUUACAUUAAAAUUAUUAAGGGAUUAUUAUAUUAAAAUUUAUAUAAAUAAGGAUUUGAUUGUAAUUUUGAUGAAUUUAUUAAAAUGAUUAUUGCUCUAAAAUAUGCACAUAUCG